AGCAGCCGCGGUAAUUCCAGCUCCAAUAGCGUAUAUUAAAGUUGCUGCAGUUAAAAAGCUCGUAGUUGAAUUUCGGGACCAAUAUGUCGGUCGUGCUUCGGUACGUACUGUCAUAAUUGGUUUCUCCCUUCUGAAGAACCUUGAUGUCAUUAAUUUGGUGUCUUGGGGAAUCAGGACUGUUACUUUGAAAAAAUUAGAGUGUUUAAAGCAGGCUCGCGCUUGAAUACAUUAGCAUGGAAUAAUGAAAUAGGACGUUUGAUUCUAUUUUGUUGGUUUCUAGGAUCGACGUAAUGAUUAAUAGGGAUAGUUGGGGGCAUUAGUAUUCAAUUGUCAGAGGUGAAAUUCUUGGAUUUAUUGAAGACUAACUACUGCGAAAGCAUUUGCCAAGGAUGUUUUCAUUAAUCAAGAACGAAAGUUAGGGGAUCGAAGACGAUCAGAUACCGUCGUAGUCUUAACCAUAAACUAUGCCGACUAGGGAUCGGAUGAUGUUAAUUUUUAAUGACUCAUUCGGCGCCUUAAC
rnacentral:rRNA from 1 species